GACGAACGCUGGCGGCGUGCUUAACACAUGCAAGUCGAACGAUGAAGCCGGAGCUUGCUCUGGUGAAUUAGUGGCGAACGGGUGAGUAACACGUGAGUAACCUGCCCUUGACUCUGGGAUAACUGCUAGAACUGGUAGCUAAUACCGGAUACGACCCUCGGAGGCAUCUCCAGGGGGUGGAAAGAAUUUCGGUCAAGGAUGGACUCGCGGCCUAUCAGCUAGUUGGGGAGGUAACGGCUCACCAAGGCGACGACGGGUAGCCGGCCUGAGAGGGUGACCGGCCACACUGGGACUGAGACACGGCCCAGACUCCUACGGGAGGCAGCAGUGGGGAAUAUUGCACAAUGGGCGCAAGCCUGAUGCAGCAACGCCGCGUGAGGGAUGACGGCCUUCGGGUUGUAAACCUCUUUAGUAGGGAAGAAGCGAAAGUGACGGUACCUGCAGAAAAAGCACCGGCUAACUACGUGCCAGCCGCCGCAGUAA
rnacentral:rRNA from 1 species